ensembl:misc_RNA 7SK 7SK RNA
GGAUGUGAGGGCGAUCUGGCUGCGACAUCUGUCACCCCAUUGAUCGCCAGGGUUGACUCGGCUGAUCUGGCUGGCUAGGCGGGUGUCCCCUUCCUCCCUCACCGCUCCAUGUGCAUCCCUCCCGAAGCUGCGCGCUGGGUGGAGGAGGACAACCUUUCCCGAUAGAGGAGGACCGUUCUUCAGUCAAGGGUAUACCAGUAGCUGCGCUCCCCUGCUAGAACCUCCAAACCAGCUCUCAAGAAUAAGAACUCAAAUUACCUAACACUAUAUUUCAAAGCACUAGAAAAAGAUCAAAU